ACAAAGAAGAGUUUGAACCUGGCUCAGGAUGAACGCUAGCGGCAGGCUUAACACAUGCAAGUCGAGGGGCAGCACGGGGAGUAGCAAUACUUUCUGGUGGCGACCGGCGGAAGGGUGCGUAACGCGUGAGCAACCUGCCCUCCACAAGGGGAUAACCGGCGGAAACGGCGACUAAUACCCUAUAUGAGAAGUCCCGGCAUCGGGACGUCUCGAAAGGACUACGGUGGAGGAUGGGCUCGCGAGACAUUAGCCAGUCGGCGGGGUAACGGCCCACCGAAGCGACGAUGUCUAGGGGUUCUGAGAGGAAGGGCCCCCACACUGGAACUGAGACACGGUCCAGACUCCUACGGAAGGCAGCAGUGAGGAAUAUUGGUCAAUGGGCGGAAGCCUGAACCAGCCAUGCCGCGUGAAGGAUAAGGUCCUAUGGACUGUCAACUUCUUUGGCGGGGGAGCAAUAAGGGGCACGUGUGCCCCGAUGAGAGUACCCCGCAAAAAAGCAUCGGCUAACUCCGUGCCAGCAGCCGCGGUA
rnacentral:rRNA from 1 species